CGAACGCUGGCGGCGUGCCUAAUACAUGCAAGUAGAACGCACAGUUUAUACCGUAGCUUGCUACACCAUAGACUGUGAGUUGCGAACGGGUGAGUAACGCGUAGGUAACCUGCCUGGUAGCGGGGGAUAACUAUUGGAAACGAUAGCUAAUACCGCAUAAUAUUAAUUAUUGCAUGAUAAUUAAUUGAAAGGUGCAAUUGCACCACUACCAGAUGGACCUGCGUUGUAUUAGCUAGUAGGUGAGGUAACGGCUCACCUAGGCGACGAUACAUAGCCGACCUGAGAGGGUGAUCGGCCACACUGGGACUGAGACACGGCCCAGACUCCUACGGGAGGCAGCAGUAGGGAAUCUUCGGCAAUGGACGAAAGUCUGACCGAGCAACGCCGCGUGAGUGAAGAAGGUUUUCGGAUCGUAAAGCUCUGUUGUAAGAGAAGAACGGGUGUGAGAGUGGAAAGUUCACACUGUGACGGUAUCUUACCAGAAAGGGGCGGCUAACUACGUG
rnacentral:rRNA from 1 species